UACGAAGGGGGCGAGCGUUGUUCGGAUUUACUGGGCGUAAAGGGCGCGCAGGCGGCCGCUCAAGUCAGGCGUGAAAGCCCCGGGCUUAACCUGGGAACUGCGUCUGGGACUGAGUGGCUAGAGUUCGGGAGAGGAGAGUGGAAUUCCCAGUGUAGAGGUGAAAUUCGUAGAUAUUGGGAAGAACACCGGUGGCGAAGGCGGCAUCCUGGACCGGCAUUGACGCUGAGGAGCGAAAGCCAGGGGAGCAAACGGG
rnacentral:rRNA from 1 species